rnacentral:rRNA from 4 species
AGUGCAUGUGGUGGAUGCCUUGGCGAUCACAGGCGAUGAAGGACGUAGUAGCUUGCGAAAAGCUGCGGGGAGCUGGCAAACGAGCUUUGAUCCGCAGAUGUCCGAAUGGGGAAACCCGGCCCGUAUGGGUCAUCCCUUGCUGAAUACAUAGGCAAGGGAGGCGAACGCAGUGAACUGAAACAUCUAAGUAGCUGCAGGAAAAGAAAUCAACCGAGAUUCCCAAAGUAGUGGCGAGCGAAAUGGGAACAGCCUUGUACUCUUUAGCAGUAUUGUUAGCGGAACGGAAUGGAAAGUCCGGCCAUAGUGGGUGAUAGCCCCGUACGCGAAAACAGUAUUGUGGAACUAGGUGUACGACAAGUAGGGCGGGACACGUGAAAUCCUGUCUGAAGAUGGGGGGACCAUCCUCCAAGGCUAAAUACUCGUGAUCGACCGAUAGUGAACCAGUACCGUGAGGGAAAGGCGAAAAGAACCCCGGGAGGGGAGUGAAAUAGAUCCUGAAACCGCAUGCAUACAAACAGUCGGAGCCUGGAAACGGGUGACGGCGUACCUUUUGUAUAAUGGGUCAGCGACUUACAUUCAGUGGCAAGCUUAACCGAUUAGGGAAGGCGUAGCGAAAGCGAGUCCGAAUAGGGCGUUCAGUCGCUGGGUGUAGACCCGAAACCAAGUGAUCUAUCCAUGGCCAGGUUGAAGGUGCGGUAACACGUACUGGAGGACCGAACCCACUAACGUUGAAAAGUUAGGGGAUGAGCUGUGGAUAGGGGUGAAAGGCUAAACAAACUUGGAAAUAGCUGGUUCUCUCCGAAAACUAUUUAGGUAGUGCCUCGUGUCUCACCUUCGGGGGUAGAGCACUGUCAUGGUUGGGGGGUCUAUUGCUGAUUACCCCGCCAUAGCAAACUCCGAAUACCGAAGAGUGCAAUCACGGGAGACAGACAUCGGGUGCUAACGUCCGGUGUCAAGAGGGAAACAACCCAGACCGCCAGCUAAGGUCCCUAAGAUUGGCUAAGUGGGAAACGAAGUGGGAAGGCUAAAACAGUCAGGAGGUUGGCUUAGAAGCAGCCACCCUUUAAAGAAAGCGUAAUAGCUCACUGAUCGAGUCGUCCUGCGCGGAAGAUGUAACGGGGCUAAGCCAGUCACCGAAGCUGCGGAUGCACGUAAGUGCAUGGUAGGAGAGCGUUCUGUAAGCCUGUGAAGGUGUCUUGUAAAGGAUGCUGGAGGUAUCAGAAGUGCGAAUGCUGACAUGAGUAGCGAUAAAGGGGGUGAAAGGCCCCCUCGCCGUAAGCCCAAGGUUUCCUACGCAACGUUCAUCGGCGUAGGGUGAGUCGGCCCCUAAGGCGAGGCAGAGAUGCGUAGCUGAUGGGAAGCAGGUUAAUAUUCCUGCACCGUCGUAUGAUGCGAUGGGGGGACGGAUCGCGGAAGGUUGUCCGGGUGUUGGAAGUCCCGGUCCCUACAUUGGAGAUGGCACUUAGGCAAAUCCGGGUGCGUGAUUCAAGGGUGUGGGGCGAGCGACGUUAGGUCGCGAAGCAAUUGGAAGUGGUUCCAAGAAAAGCCUCUAAGCUUCAGUCAUACGAGACCGUACCGCAAACCGACACAGGUGGGCGAGAUGAGUAUUCUAAGGCGCUUGAGAGAACUCGGGAGAAGGAACUCGGCAAAUUGGUACCGUAACUUCGGGAUAAGGUACGCCCUUGUAGUUUGACUGGCUCGCGCCAGAAGGAUGAAGGGGUUGCAAUAAAAUGGUGGCUGCGACUGUUUAAUAAAAACACAGCACUCUGCAAACACGAAAGUGGACGUAUAGGGUGUGACGCCUGCCCGGUGCCGGAAGAUUAAAUGAUGGGGUGCAAGCUCUUGAUUGAAGUCCCGGUAAACGGCGGCCGUAACUAUAACGGUCCUAAGGUAGCGAAAUUCCUUGUCGGGUAAGUUCCGACCUGCACGAAUGGCGUAACGAUGGCCACACUGUCUCCUCCCGAGACUCAGCGAAGUUGAAGUGUUUGUGAUGAUGCAAUCUCCCCGCGGCUAGACGGAAAGACCCCAUGAACCUUUACUGUAGCUUUGCAUUGGACUUUGAACCGAUCUGUGUAGGAUAGGUGGGAGGCUUUGAAACCGGGACGCUAGUUUCGGUGGAGCCGACCUUGAAAUACCACCCUGGUUUGUUUGAGGUUCUAACCUUGGCCCGUGAAUCCGGGUCGGGGACAGUGCAUGGUAGGCAGUUUGACUGGGGCGGUCUCCUCCCAAAGUGUAACGGAGGAGUUCGAAGGUACGCUUGGUACGGUCGGACAUCGUACCUAAAGUGCAAUGGCAAAAGCGUGCUUAACUGCGAGACCGACAAGUCGAGCAGGUGCGAAAGCAGGACAUAGUGAUCCGGUGGUUCUGUAUGGAAGGGCCAUCGCUCAACGGAUAAAAGGUACUCUGGGGAUAACAGGCUGAUACCGCCCAAGAGUUCAUAUCGACGGCGGUGUUUGGCACCUCGAUGUCGGCUCAUCUCAUCCUGGGGCUGUAGCCGGUCCCAAGGGUAUGGCUGUUCGCCAUUUAAAGAGGUACGUGAGCUGGGUUUAAAACGUCGUGAGACAGUUUGGUCCCUAUCUGCCGUGGGCGUUGGAAUCUUGACGGGGGCUGCUCCUAGUACGAGAGGACCGGAGUGGACGUACCGCUGGUGUACCUGUUGUCUCGCCAGAGGCAUCGCAGGGUAGCUAUGUACGGAAGAGAUAACCGCUGAAAGCAUCUAAGCGGGAAACUCGCCUGAAGAUGAGGAUUCCCUGGAGACUUGAUCUCCCUGAAGGGUCGUUCGAGACCAGGACGUUGAUAGGCUGGGUGUGGAAGCGCAGUAAUGCGUUCAGCUAACCAGUACUAAUUGCCCGUGCGGCUUGAUC